AACGAACGCUGGCGGCAUGCCUAACACAUGCAAGUCGAACGAGACCUUCGGGUCUAGUGGCGCACGGGUGCGUAACGCGUGGGAACCUGCCCUUAGGUUCGGAAUAACUCCCCGAAAGGGGUGCUAAUACCGGAUAAUGUCUUCGGACCAAAGAUUUAUCGCCUUUGGAUGGGCCCGCGUUGGAUUAGCUAGUUGGUAGGGUAAAAGCCUACCAAGGCGACGAUCCAUAGCUGGUCUGAGAGGAUGAUCAGCCACACUGGGACUGAGACACGGCCCAGACUCCUACGGGAGGCAGCAGUGGGAAUAUUGGACAAUGGGCGAAAGCCUGAUCCAGCAAUGCCGCGUGAGUGAUGAAGGUCUUAGGGUUGUAAAGCUCUUUUACCCGGGAUGAUAAUGACAGUACCGGGAGAAUAAGCUCCGGCUAACUCCGUG
rnacentral:rRNA from 1 species